rnacentral:tRNA from 1 species
GCCUGGUGGCUCAGUCGGUUGAGCGUCUGACUUCAGCUCAGGUCAUGAUCUCAUGUCUCGUGGGUUCAAGCCUUGCAUCGGGCU